rnacentral:rRNA from 1 species
GUCCACGCCGUAAACGAUGAGUGCUAGGUGUUGGGGGUCAAACCUCGGUGCCGCAGCUAACGCAUUAAGCACUCCGCCUGGGGGAGUACGUACGCAAGUAUGAAACUCAAAGGAAUUGACGGGGACCCGCACAAGCAGCGGAGCAUGUGGUUUAAUUCGAAGCAACGCGAAGAACCUUACCAGGGCUUGACAUGCCCCUGACCGGUCUAGAGAUAGAUCUUUACCUCGGGUACAGGGGACACAGGUGGUGCAUGGUUGUCGU